GUGGCCAUGAUCGUCGUCGACAAGUUCGGGCGCAGAAAGCUGUUGCUGGUAGGCGGUGUUCAGAUGAUCCUGUCACAGUUCACGGUAGGCGCGAUCCUGGCCGUGAAGUUCAAGGACCAAGGAGUCAUGGGGAAGGAGUACGGGUACCUGGUCCUGAUCAUCAUGUGCGUCUUCGUGGCGGGGUUCGCCUGGUCCUGGGGACCUCUCACCUACUUGGUCCCGACAGAGAUCUGCCCGCUGGAGAUCAGGUCGGCAGG
rnacentral:lncRNA from 1 species